UACGGGGGGGGCAAGCGUUGUUCGGAAUUACUGGGCGUAAAGCGCACGUAGGCGGAUUGUUAAGUCAGGGGUGAAAUCCUGGAGCUCAACUCCAGAACUGCCUUUGAUACUGGCGAUCUUGAGUCCGGGAGAGGUGAGUGGAACUGCGAGUGUAGAGGUGAAAUUCGUAGAUAUUCGCAAGAACACCAGUGGCGAAGGCGGCUCACUGGCCCGGUACUGACGCUGAGGCACGAAAGCGUGGGGAGCAAACAGG
rnacentral:rRNA from 1 species